rnacentral:rRNA from 1 species
AUACGUAGGGGGCGAGCGUUGUCCGGAAUGACUGGGCGUAAAGGGCGUGUAGGCGGCCGAUUAAGUCUGGAGUAAAAGUCCUGCAUUCAAUGUGGGAAUUGCUUUGGAGACUGGUUGGCUUGAGUGCGGAAGAGGUAAGUGGAAUUCCCAGUGUAGCGGUGAAAUGCGUAGAGAUUGGGAGGAACACCAGUGGCGAAGGCGACUUACAGGGCCGUAACUGACGCUGAGGCGCGAAAGCGUGGGGAGCGAACAGGAUUAGAUACCCUGGUAGUCCACGCGGUAAACGAUGAAUGCUAGGUGUUGCGGGUAUCGACCCCUGCAGUGCCGGAGUAAACACAAUAAGCAUUCCGCCUGGGGAGUACGGCCGCAAGGUUGAAACUCAAAGGAAUUGACGGGG